rnacentral:tRNA from 1 species
AAUAAAGUGCCUGAUAAAAGGGUUAUCUUGAUAGGAUAAAUUAUAUACAAAUUUGUAUCUUUAUUA